UGGGGUGUAGCUCAUUUGGUAGAGCAUUCGCUUUGCAUAUGAGAGGCAUGGGGUUCAAUUUCUUACACCUUUA
rnacentral:tRNA from 1 species